CAGCCGGAGGUAGGGUCCAG
rnacentral:snRNA from 1 species